GAGAGUGCCUCCUGUGAAGCACGGUGGAGGAAUGCUUGGAGGCAGCACGGGUAGCUUUGCGGGGGACGCUGUAGAGCACCGGUCUCGGUUGCCCUGCACAAAGUACACCCAGGUGACACCAGCUAGGCAGCAAUUAGCGUGCUUCAGGGCCUUGGAGCUUCAGGGUGUCAGAAGGAAUCAUCAAACUAACUUCUGCAAGGCAUUAAAAUGCCUUCAGGACCUAUGUUUGGGAUUGCUGCAGCCCAGACGCUGAAUAAAACACUUCAGGUACUUCUCUCCUGUUCAGAAAUCUAGCUGAUGAGAUAUGAUCACCUUGAAUAAGCUUUUCCCUUGUAAACUUGUUUAAGCUUUUCCUUUGUAAACAUCUUUUCUACUUCUUGCCCUGUUCUUCCCUCAUAAAACUCCCUCACAUGCCAGCCAUCCCAGACCCUGUUACGAGAUACAUGAGGUCCCCAGCUGAUGACUCCAUGACUACACUGAAUUAUUUGUUACUGUCCAUCCCCUCCACAUACAAAGAUUCCAUUAUCUUGCAGAAAAGCAUACAAAAGGAAGAGGAUUCAACGUAUCUCUAUAUUUAAGAGGAGAAAUAUAUGACCUGUUCAGCAGUGAUUCCUCUCAAGCAUCAGCAAGAUACAGGCCAGAAGCCUUGACAAUUGUAUUGACUCAGUUUUUUAGGGGACUGGGCUGUGAACCAGAUCUUGGAAUAAAGCUGUUUAAAAACAACAACAGCAACAAACAACAACAAAACAGGGAGGUGAGGAGGGAGGAA